rnacentral:rRNA from 1 species
AUUGAACGCUGGCGGUAGGCCUAACACAUGCAAGUCGAACGCGAAAGUCCUUCGGAUGAGUAGAGUGGCGGACGGGUGAGUAACGCGUAGGAAUCUAUCCUGUAGUGGGGGAGUAACGUUUCGAAAGGAACGCUAAUACCGCAUACGCCCCAACGGGGGAAAGGCGGGGGAGUCUUCGGACCUCGUGCUAUAGGAGGAGCCUGCGUCGGAUUAGCUAGUUGGUGAGGUAAAGGCUCACCAAGGCGACGAUCCGUAGCUGGUCUGAGAGGAUGAUCAGCCACACCGGAACUGAGACACGGUCCGGACUCCUACGGGAGGCAGCAGUGGGGAAUAUUGCGCAAUGGGCGAAAGCCUGACGCAGCCAUACCGCGUGUGUGAAGAAGGCC